rnacentral:rRNA from 1 species
CACGUAGGGCGCAAGCGUUGUCCGGAAUUAUUGGGCGUAAAGAGCUCGUAGGCGGUCUGUUGCGUCCGCUGUGAAAACUCGGGGCUUAACCCCGAGCCUGCAGUGGAUACGGGCAGACUAGAGGUAGGUAGGGGAGAAUGGAAUUCCCGGUGUAGCGGUGAAAUGCGCAGAUAUCGGGAGGAACACCGGUGGCGAAGGCGGUUCUCUGGGCUGACACUGACGCUCAUGCACGAAAGCGUGGGGAGCAAACAGG